rnacentral:rRNA from 1 species
AACGAACGCUGGCGGCAUGCCUAACACAUGCAAGUCGAACGAGACCUUCGGGUCUAGUGGCGCACGGGUGCGUAACGUGUGGGAAGCUGCCCUUAGGUUCGGAAUAAUACUCCGAAAGGGGUGCUAAUAUCGGAAAAUGUAUUCGAACCAAAGAUUUAUCGUCCUUGGAUGGGCCGGCGUUGGCUUGGCUAGUUGGUAGGGUAAAAGCCUAUGAAGGCGUAGCUAUAUAGCUGGUCAGAGAGGAAGAGCAGCCACACUGGGACUGAGAUACGGCCCAGACUCCUACGGGAGGCAGGAGUGGGUAAUAUUGGACAAUGGGCUGAGGCCUGAACGAGCAAUGCCGCGUGAGUGAUGAAGGCCUUAAGGAAGUAAAGCUCUUUAACCCGGGAUGAUAAUGACGGUACCGAAAGAAUAAGCUCCGGCUAACUCCGUG